GACGAACGCUGGCGGCGUGCUUAACACAUGCAAGUCGAACGGAAAGGCCCUGCUUUUGUGGGGUGCUCGAGUGGCGAACGGGUGAGUAACACGUGAGUAACCUGCCCUUGACUUUGGGAUAACUUCAGGAAACUGGGGCUAAUACCGGAUAGGAGCUCCUGCUGCAUGGUGGGGGUUGGAAAGUUUCGGCGGUUGGGGAUGGACUCGCGGCUUAUCAGCUUGUUGGUGGGGGAGUGGCUUACCAAGGCUUUGACGGGUAGCCGGCCUGAGAGGGUGACCGGCCACAUUGGGACUGAGAUACGGCCCAGGCUCCUACGGGAGGCAGCAGUGGGGAAUAUUGCGCACUGGGCGGAAGCCUGAUGCAGCACCGCCGCGUCCGGGAUGACGGCCUUCGGGUUGUAACCCGCUUUCGCCUGUGACGAAGCGUGAGUGACGGUAAUGGGUAAAGAAGCACCGGCUAACUACGUG
rnacentral:rRNA from 1 species